GACGUAGGGGGCCAGCGUUGUUCGGAAUUACUGGGUGUAAAGGGUUCGUAGGCGGUGUGGCAAGUCGGGAGUGAAAUCUCUGGGCUCAACUCAGAGACUGCUUCCGAAACUGCUGUGCUGGAGUGUGGGAGAGGCGCGUGGAAUUGCAGGUGUAGCGGUGAAAUGCGUAGAUAUCUGCAGGAACACCCGUGGCGAAAGCGGCGCGCUGGACCACUACUGACGCUGAGGAACGAAAGCUAGGGGGAGCAAACAGG
rnacentral:rRNA from 1 species